CCCUUAGAUGUUCUGGGCCGCACGCGCGCUACACUGAUGCAUUCAACGAGCACCCGCUGGGCCGAGAGGUCCGGCUAAUCUUUGAACGUGCAUCGUGCUGGGGAUAGAUGAUUGCAAUUAUUCAUCUUCUACGAGGAAUUCCUAGUAAACGCAAGUCAUCAGCUUGCAUUGAUUACGUCCCUGCCCUUUGUACACACCGCCCGUCGCACCUACCGAUUGAAUGGUCCGGUGAAAUUCUCGGACGCGGACUUGCGAUGUUAAUUCGGAGCUUGACUGUGAAAGUUAAUUAAACCUUACCAUUUAGAGGAAGGUGAAGUCGUAACA
rnacentral:rRNA from 1 species